rnacentral:rRNA from 1 species
AGUGAACGCUGGCGGUAGGCCUAACACAUGCAAGUCGAACGGCAGCACAGGAGAGCUUGCUCUCUGGGUGGCGAGUGGCGGACGGGUGAGGAAUACAUCGGAAUCUACUCUGUCGUGGGGGAUAACGUAGGGAAACUUACGCUAAUACCGCAUACGACCUACGGGUGAAAGCAGGGGAUCUUCGGACCUUGCGCGAUUGAAUGAGCCGAUGUCGGAUUAGCUAGUUGGCGGGGUAAAGGCCCACCAAGGCGACGAUCCGUAGCUGGUCUGAGAGGAUGAUCAGCCACACUGGAACUGAGACACGGUCCAGACUCCUACGGGAGGCAGCAGUGGGGAAUAUUGGACAAUGGGCGCAAGCCUGAUCCAGCCAUACCGCGUGGGUGAAGAAGGCCUUCGGGUUGUAAAGCCCUUUUGUUGGGAAAGAAAUCCAGCCGGCUAAUACCUGGUUGGGAUGACGGUACCCAAAGAAUAAGCACCGGC